rnacentral:rRNA from 1 species
GACGUAGGGCGCGAGCGUUGUCCGGAUUUAUUGGGCGUAAAGAGCGCGUAGGCGGCCCGUUAAGUCGGAUGUGAAAACCCGUGGCUCAACCACGGGCCUGCAUCCGAUACUGGCGGGCUCGAGGCAGGCAGGGGAGAUCGGAAUUCCUGGUGUAGCGGUGAAAUGCGCAGAUAUCAGGAGGAACACCGGUGGCGAAGGCGGAUCUCUGGGCCUGUCCUGACGCUCAGGCGCGAAAGCUAGGGGAGCAAACAGG